rnacentral:rRNA from 1 species
GAUGAACGCUGGCGGCGUGCCCAAUACAUGCAAGUCGAGCGAACGGACUCGAGGCUUGCUUUUCUGAUGUUAGCCGCGCACGUGUGAGUAACACGUGCAUAACCUACCUAUAAGACUGGGAUACCUUCGGGAAACCGGCGCUAAUUCCGGAUAAUAUUUUUCACCGCAUGGUUCAACAGUGAAAUACGUUCUUGCUGUCUCUUCUCGCUGGCUCCGCGCUGCAUUAGAUAGUUGUUAAGGUAACGGCUUACCAAGGCAACGAUGCAUAGCCGACCUGGGAGGGGGAUAGGCGACACUGGAGCGGAGACACGGACAAGACGCCUAAGGGAGGCAGCAGUAGGGAAUGGGCGGCAAUGGGCGAAAGUAUGACGGAGCAACGGAGCGUGAGUGAUGAAGGUCUUGGGAUAGUAAAACUGGGUUACGAGGGAAGAACAUAUGUGUAAAUAAAAGUGGACAUCGUGACGGUACCUAAACAGAAAGCCACGGCUAACUACGUG